GAAGAAGUGCCUGAGUGGUUAAAAGGGGCAGACUGUAAAUCUGUUGAUUGAGAUAUAUCUUCGGUGGUUCAAAUCCAUUCUUCUUCA
rnacentral:tRNA from 1 species